rnacentral:rRNA from 1 species
UACCAGCACCCCGAGUGGUCGGGGCGAUUAUUGGGCCUAAAGCAUCCGUAGCCGGUUCUACAAGUCUUCCGUUAAAUCCACCUGCUUAACAGAUGGGCUGCGGAGGAUACUAUGGAGCUAGGAGGCGGGAGAGGCAAGCGGUACUUAGUGGGUAGGGGUAAAAUCCGUUGAUCCAUUGAAGACCACCAGUGGCGAAGGCGGCUUGCCAGAACGCACUCGACGGUGAGGGAUGAAAGCUGGGGGAGCAAACCGG